rnacentral:tRNA from 1 species
AAGAAUUUAGUUAAAUAUAUAACAUUAGAUUGUCAAACUAAAAUUAUUAGUAUUAAUAAUUCUUA